AGCGGGGUUUUAAUAAAAAAAAAACAAAAAAAACUAUACAAUUUAAAAAUGACCAGUUUAAGUGGUACGUUUCGUGUUAUGAAUGCCGGAUCGAUACUAGUAAAGAUGAAAGAUAGGUUCGUGGUUGUUACGGAGGUCGUUGAAACGUACUCGUUUUCCUCAAGAUUUAUUUAUUUAUUUUUUUCAUUGCCUAGGGGAUUGUAUCUAUCUCUCGCAAUAAAUCGCUAGAAACAUCGCAAAUUAUGUAAGAUAAUGUAUCUUUUAGAAAAAGGAAUUCCUAAGCACGGAAUAAUGUUUGCGUUCUAAUUAAAAGUUGAAAAGAGUAGCAUUUAGGACACGCUUUUAGGACUGAAAUAUUUAUUUCUUCGAUGUAUGUUAAUACAUUUUUUACAUGUUCAAGACGAGAAUAUAUUACUCUUCAACCGCAAAAAGAUUCUUGAGUCAAAGCGUCCUAUUUAGUAUUUAUCUUUAGUAUAUACGAGGUGGAUUGGCUUUUGCCAAGUUUCUUCGCGUCACGCUUGCGCGGCUUUUCGAGGCGAGCUUUUGAGCUUUCGAGUCGCACUGGUAACGGAGACACGUGGAGUCGCUUGUUCGUUCGUUACCAAGUUUUACGCUCCUCACGAGUUUCUUUAACUGCGGUAAAGUGACGUUUCAUUGGUGAACUAUAUUCGAUUGUGGUCAAGGAAAAAAAGUGAUGAUAUCUUUUUUCCUAUUUCAAAUUAUUUUUCAAAAAUUUAUUUACGAACGUGGUGUUAAAAAAUUAAUCGGUCGUCGAACGAUUUGAAAAUAUAUUAGGUAGGCGUUAAACACUUUUCUACUUGUGUUUGAGCCGUGUAAAAUUUAAACGUUUUAUAAUAAGAGUUAUUUAGAGUUAUGUCAUGUUAACUACAUAGAUUUUUUGUUUUUGUCAUACCGAUUAUUGAUUCAUUAAUAAGAUUUUAUACGACGGGAUUUAUUAUUGACGACGGUGAUAAUCGAUAAAUGAUAAUUCGGAAAUUAACAAUAAUUCUAUGACAGAAACGCCGUGUUAAAUAAAUUUUUGAUAUGAUUAACGUCGAAAAUAAUAUCGUUUACAAGUUUAUCGUUUAUCAGUGGAGUGUUUAAAUAGUGAAUGUAAAACAUUGGUGUCGUAAAAAUGAAUAAGGACGAAGAAAAUACUAAACACAAAGAAGAAAUGAAAGAAUCAUCGAUCCCGUCAGCACCUUUACACUCUUAUCCGCAUCAAAAGAUCUUCAAAAAGUGCAAAAGUGCGACUUUUCAUCUGGACGGUGCAAUUUAUACGAUAGGUAAAUCUCGAAAAUAUUCUACAUAAUUUCAUUAUUUUAUGUUAAUGUCUUCUGUAACUCUGAUGCAGCUUUGACGAAAGUCUUUGAUUUAUUACGAUUAACUUUUCCGAAUUAUGUUUACUUUAGAAGUGUUUUAAUUUUUUCUAGAUUUUGCAUUUAUAAUUUCUAUUUUGCUUACGAGUGGAGAUCGUCAAUGCACAUUUAACAUUAAACAAUAAAAUCACACAAUGAA